rnacentral:rRNA from 1 species
GAACCUGCGGAAGGAUCAUUAAUGAGAUAGUAAACCCGCCCUGGGUCUCACCACCGCCUGAGACAAAAUAUCAGCGGUUGCGUGCAGUUAAUCGGUAUAACCUUUUUGAAACCUGGGGCAGCUAUCCACCCGUGUAUAUAUACUAUGUUGCUUUCCGGGCGUCGAACCCCGGAGAGAACCAAACUCUUAAGUUUAUAGACGUCUGAGUACUAUAUAAUAGUUAAAACUUUCAACAACGGAUCUCUUGGUUCUGGCAUCGAUGAAGAACGCAGCGAAAUGCGAUAAGUAAUGUGAAUUGCAGAAUUCAGUGAAUCAUCGAAUCUUUGAACGCACAUUGCGCCCCUUGGUAUUCCGGGGGGCAUGCCUGUUCGAGCGUCAUUAAAGCCCAAUCCCUCCGGGGGUCUUGGGGCCUGCGAUCACGCAGCCCUUAAAGCUAGUGGCGGUGCCUCUCGGCUCUAAGCGUAGUAAUUCUUCUCGCUAUAGAAAGGAGGGAACACUUGCCAAAAUCCCCACACUACUUAGGAUUGACCUCGGAUCAGGUAGGGAUACCCGCUGAACUUAAGCAUAUCAAUAAACGGGAGGAAGA